AGCAGCCGCCGCGGUAAUACAGAGGGUGCAAGCGUUAAUCGGAAUUACUGGGCGUAAAGCGCGCGUAGGUGGUUCGCCAAGUUGGAUGUGAAAUCCCCGGGCUCAACCUGGGAACUGCAUCCAAAACUGGCGAGCUAGAGUAUGGUAGAGGGUGGUGGAAUUUCCUGUGUAGCGGUGAAAUGCGUAGAUAUAGGAAGGAACAUCAGUGGCGAAGGCGACCACCUGGACUGAUACUGACACUGAGGUGCGAAAGCGUGGGGAGCAAACAGGAUUAGAUACCCCGGUAGUCCCUGUCUCUUAUAC
rnacentral:rRNA from 1 species